rnacentral:rRNA from 1 species
UGGGGAAUAUUGGACAAUGGGCGGAAGCCUGAUCCAGCAACGCCGCGUGAGGGAUGACGGCCUUCGGGUUGUAAAACCUCUUUUCAGCACAGACGAAGCGCAAGUGACGGUAUGUGCAGAAGAAGGACCGGCCAACUACGUGCCAGCAGCCGCGGUAAUACGUAGGGUCCGAGCGUUGUCCGGAAUUAUUGGGCGUAAAGGGCUCGUAGGCGGUUUGUCGCGUCGGGAGUGAAAACACCGGGCUUAACUCGGUGCUUGCUUUCGAUACGGGCAGACUAGAGGCAUUCAGGGGAGAACGGAAUUCCUGGUGUAGCGGUGAAAUGCGCAGAUAUCAGGAGGAACACCGGUGGCGAAGGCGGUUCUCUGGGAAUGUCCUGACGCUGAGGAGCGAAAGUGUGGGGAGCGAACAGGAUUAGAUACCCUGGUAGUCCACACCGUAAACGUUGGGCGCUAGGUGUGGGAUCCAUUCCACGGGUUCCGUGCCGCAGCUAACGCAUUAAGCGCCCCGCCUGGGGAGUACGGCCGCAAGGCUAAAACUCAAAGGAAUUGACGGGGUCAUAGCUG